AAAAACAUGUCUUAAUGUAAAUUAAUAUUAAGUCUGGCCUGCUCAAUGAUUUAAUUAUUAAAUAGCCGCAGUAAUUUGACUGUGCGAAGGUAGCAUAAUCAUUUGUCUUUUAAUUGAAGGCUUGUAUGAAUGGUUUGAUGAAGGAAUUACUUUCUUUUAUAUUAAAUGUAUAAUUUAAUUUUUAGGUUAAAAAGCUUAAAUGUUUAAAAGGGACGAGAAGACCCUAUAGAAUUUCAUUAUACGAAUUUAUGUAUUAGUUUUGGGUAAUAUUUAAUUUAUAUGGAUAAUAUAAUUUUGUUGGGGUGAUUGGAAGAUUUAUUUAACUCUUCUACUUUUUUUUAUUACUUGUUAGUAAAUUUAUGAUCCUUUAUUAUGGAUAAUUAGAUUAAAUUACCUUAGGGAUAACAGCGUUAUUUAUCUGGAGAGUUCUAAUCGAUAGAUGAGUUUGCGACCUCGAUGUUGGAUU
rnacentral:rRNA from 1 species